rnacentral:rRNA from 1 species
GCUUAGAAGCAGCCACUCAUUUAAAGAGUGCGUAAUAGCUCACUGGUCGAGUGAUUGUGCGCCGAAAAUGUACCGGGGCUAAACUGUGUACCGAAGUCUAGGGAUCGUGAUAAACGAUCGGUAGGGGAGCAACGUGUGCGGGCUGAAGCCGAAGCGGAAGCGACGGUGGACUGCACGGGAGAGAGAAUGCCGGCAUGAGUAGCGAGAGCAAAGUGAGAAUCUUUGCCGUCGAAAGCCUAAGGUUUCCUGAGGAAGGCUCGUCCUCUCAGGGUAAGUCAGGACCUAAGCCGAGGACAAAAGUCGUAGGCGAUGGACAACUGGUUGAUAUUCCAGUACCACCUUUAGCGUUUGACUGAAGCAGUGACACAGAAGGAUAGACAGAGCGCGUGACUGGUAGAGCGCGUCCAAGCGAUGAGGGAGUUAAGUAGUGAAGCACGUUUAACAAUCCUGGGUCGUGAUGGGGACUGAAAAUAAGUAGGGAAGCUGUUGAAUUCACGCUGGCGAGAAAAGCUGCUAAGGAGCGAAAGGGUGCCUGUACCGCAAACCGACACAGGUAGGCGAGGAGAGAAUCCUAAGACGAGCGGGAGAACCCAUGUUAAGGAACUCGGCAAAAUGACCCUGUAACUUCGGGAUAAAGGGAGCCACGAGAGUGGCCGCAGAGAAUAGGCCCAAGCGACUGUUUACCAAAAACACAGGUCUGUGCGAAGUAGAGAUACGACGUAUACGGGCUGACGCCUGCCCAGUGCCGGAAGGUUAAGGGGAAGUGUUAGGGCAACCGAAGCACGGAACUUAAGCCCCGGUGAACGGCGGCCGUAACUAUAACGGUCCUAAGGUAGCGAAAUUCCUUGUCGGGUAAGUUCCGACCCGCACGAAUGGCGUAACGACUUGGGCACUGUCUCAACAUGGGACCCGGCGAAAUUGUAGUAUGUGUGAAGAUGCACAUUACCCGCGAUAGGACGGAAAGACCCCGUAGAGCUUUACUGUAGUUUAACAUUGGAUUUCGGUAACAUAUGUACAGGAUAGGUGGGAGGCGAAGAACCAGGGACGCCAGUUUCUGGGGAGCCGACCUUGGGAUACCACUCUUGUGUUAUUGGAGUUCUAACGAAUUGCCGUGACCCGGGAUUCGGACAGUGUUAGAUGGGCAGUUUGACUGGGGCGGUCGCCUCCCAAAGAGUAACGGAGGCGUCCAAAGGUUCCCUCAGAAUGGUUGGAAACCAUUCGCAGAGUGUAAAGGCAGAAGGGAGCUUGACUGCGAGACCGACAGGUCGAGCAGGUGCGAAAGCAGGGCUUAGUGAUCCGGCGGUAUGAGAGUGGAAUUGCCGUCGCUCAACGGAUAAAAGCUACC